ACAGUAUUGUACAAUUCCUUUCUCUUUAAAUGUAUGUAGAGCUAAUAGAAUAUGGCUAAGGUGAAUGGAUUUUACAAAUUUAAUUAGAGUCCAGAUGGUCGACUUUGAAUUAACCAAUAGGGGGAGGAGUCCAUCCUGGUCUAAAAGAGCAGCUAUGUGAACAGUUUGCCUGUUAAUGGGGGUAACUACCGUCGGGGGACCUCCCGCGAGGCUGUGAUCCAGCAGAGCUGCAGGGAUGGGACCCCCUCAAAUCAAGUGCAACCAAUGCAUUCACUUGGAUCUCAGACUUGGUUUCUUUACUGCUACUACAACUGGUUUAAAGAUGCCAGAUUGAUGAAGACAAGCACUGCACAUCUAAAUGCCAUGUAUUAAAGACAGUGGAGCCACAGAUGAAGAAGCCUGGAUCCCAGAUUAUCUUGUGGAGAGCCAUAAUACCUGUACUGGAAC